AGCAGCCGCGGUAAUUCCAGCUCCAAUAGCGUAUAUUAAAGUUGUUGCAGUUAAAAAGCUCGUAGUUGAAUUUCGGGAUCAAUAUGUCGGUCGUGCCUUGGUACGUACUGGUAUCAUUGGUCUCUCCUUUCUGACGAACCAUGAUGUCAUUAAUUUGGUGUUAUGGGAAGUUAGGACUGUUACUUUGAAAAAAUUAGAGUGUUUAAAGCAGGCUUUAGCUUGAAUACAUUAGCAUGGAAUAAUGAAAUAGGACGUUCGAACCUAUUUUGUUGGUUUCUAGGAUCAACGUAAUGAUUAAUAGGGAUAGUUGGGGGCAUUAGUAUUCAAUUGUCAGAGGUGAAAUUCUUGGAUUUAUUGAAGACUAACUACUGCGAAAGCAUUUGCCAAGGAUGUUUUCAUUAAUCAAGAACGAAAGUUAGGGGAUCGAAGACGAUCAGAUACCGUCGUAGUCUUAACCAUAAACUAUGCGACUAGGGAUCGGAU
rnacentral:rRNA from 1 species